GUCCCGGUAGCUCAGCUGGAUAGAGUACUUGAUUCCUAAUCAAGAAGCCAUGCGUUCGAAUCGCAUUCGGGACACCA
rnacentral:tRNA from 1 species